rnacentral:rRNA from 2 species
UUAAGCGACUAAGCGUACACGGUGGAUGCCCUGGCAGUCAGAGGCGAUGAAGGACGUGCUAAUCUGCGAUAAGCGUCGGUAAGGUGAUAUGAACCGUUAUAACCGGCGAUUUCCGAAUGGGGAAACCCAGUGUGUUUCGACACACUAUCAUUAACUGAAUCCAUAGGUUAAUGAGGCGAACCGGGGGAACUGAAACAUCUAAGUACCCCGAGGAAAAGAAAUCAACCGAGAUUCCCCCAGUAGCGGCGAGCGAACGGGGAGCAGCCCAGAGUCUGAAUCAGUGUGUGUGUUAGUGGAAGCGUCUGGAAAGGCGCGCGAUACAGGGUGACAGCCCCGUACACAAAAAUGCACAUAUUGUGAGCUCGAUGAGUAGGGCGGGACACGUGGUAUCCUGUCUGAAUAUGGGGGGACCAUCCUCCAAGGCUAAAUACUCCUGACUGACCGAUAGUGAACCAGUACCGUGAGGGAAAGGCGAAAAGAACCCCGGCGAGGGGAGUGAAAAAGAACCUGAAACCGUGUACGUACAAGCAGUGGGAGCCUCUUUUAUGGGGUGACUGCGUACCUUUUGUAUAAUGGGUCAGCGACUUAUAUUCUGUAGCAAGGUUAACCGAAUAGGGGAGCCGAAGGGAAACCGAGUCUUAACUGGGCGUUAAGUUGCAGGGUAUAGACCCGAAACCCGGUGAUCUAGCCAUGGGCAGGUUGAAGGUUGGGUAACACUAACUGGAGGACCGAACCGACUAAUGUUGAAAAAUUAGCGGAUGACUUGUGGCUGGGGGUGAAAGGCCAAUCAAACCGGGAGAUAGCUGGUUCUCCCCGAAAGCUAUUUAGGUAGCGCCUCGUGAAUUCAUCUCCGGGGGUAGAGCACUGUUUCGGCAAGGGGGUCAUCCCGACUUACCAACCCGAUGCAAACUGCGAAUACCGGAGAAUGUUAUCACGGGAGACACACGGCGGGUGCUAACGUCCGUCGUGAAGAGGGAAACAACCCAGACCGCCAGCUAAGGUCCCAAAGUCAUGGUUAAGUGGGAAACGAUGUGGGAAGGCCCAGACAGCCAGGAUGUUGGCUUAGAAGCAGCCAUCAUUUAAAGAAAGCGUAAUAGCUCACUGGUCGAGUCGGCCUGCGCGGAAGAUGUAACGGGGCUAAACCAUGCACCGAAGCUGCGGCAGCGACGCUUAUGCGUUGUUGGGUAGGGGAGCGUUCUGUAAGCCUGUGAAGGUGUGCUGUGAGGCAUGCUGGAGGUAUCAGAAGUGCGAAUGCUGACAUAAGUAACGAUAAAGCGGGUGAAAAGCCCGCUCGCCGGAAGACCAAGGGUUCCUGUCCAACGUUAAUCGGGGCAGGGUGAGUCGACCCCUAAGGCGAGGCCGAAAGGCGUAGUCGAUGGGAAACAGGUUAAUAUUCCUGUACUUGGUGUUACUGCGAAGGGGGGACGGAGAAGGCUAUGUUGGCCGGGCGACGGUUGUCCCGGUUUAAGCGUGUAGGCUGGUUUUCCAGGCAAAUCCGGAAAAUCAAGGCUGAGGCGUGAUGACGAGGCACUACGGUGCUGAAGCAACAAAUGCCCUGCUUCCAGGAAAAGCCUCUAAGCAUCAGGUAACAUCAAAUCGUACCCCAAACCGACACAGGUGGUCAGGUAGAGAAUACCAAGGCGCUUGAGAGAACUCGGGUGAAGGAACUAGGCAAAAUGGUGCCGUAACUUCGGGAGAAGGCACGCUGAUAUGUAGGUGAAGUCCCUCGCGGAUGGAGCUGAAAUCAGUCGAAGAUACCAGCUGGCUGCAACUGUUUAUUAAAAACACAGCACUGUGCAAACACGAAAGUGGACGUAUACGGUGUGACGCCUGCCCGGUGCCGGAAGGUUAAUUGAUGGGGUCAGCGCAAGCGAAGCUCUUGAUCGAAGCCCCGGUAAACGGCGGCCGUAACUAUAACGGUCCUAAGGUAGCGAAAUUCCUUGUCGGGUAAGUUCCGACCUGCACGAAUGGCGUAAUGAUGGCCAGGCUGUCUCCACCCGAGACUCAGUGAAAUUGAACUCGCUGUGAAGAUGCAGUGUACCCGCGGCAAGACGGAAAGACCCCGUGAACCUUUACUAUAGCUUGACACUGAACAUUGAGCCUUGAUGUGUAGGAUAGGUGGGAGGCUUUGAAGUGUGGACGCCAGUCUGCAUGGAGCCGACCUUGAAAUACCACCCUUUAAUGUUUGAUGUUCUAACGUUGACCCGUAAUCCGGGUUGCGGACAGUGUCUGGUGGGUAGUUUGACUGGGGCGGUCUCCUCCUAAAGAGUAACGGAGGAGCACGAAGGUUGGCUAAUCCUGGUCGGACAUCAGGAGGUUAGUGCAAUGGCAUAAGCCAGCUUGACUGCGAGCGUGACGGCGCGAGCAGGUGCGAAAGCAGGUCAUAGUGAUCCGGUGGUUCUGAAUGGAAGGGCCAUCGCUCAACGGAUAAAAGGUACUCCGGGGAUAACAGGCUGAUACCGCCCAAGAGUUCAUAUCGACGGCGGUGUUUGGCACCUCGAUGUCGGCUCAUCACAUCCUGGGGCUGAAGUAGGUCCCAAGGGUAUGGCUGUUCGCCAUUUAAAGUGGUACGCGAGCUGGGUUUAGAACGUCGUGAGACAGUUCGGUCCCUAUCUGCCGUGGGCGCUGGAGAACUGAGGGGGGCUGCUCCUAGUACGAGAGGACCGGAGUGGACGCAUCACUGGUGUUCGGGUUGUCAUGCCAAUGGCACUGCCCGGUAGCUAAAUGCGGAAGAGAUAAGUGCUGAAAGCAUCUAAGCACGAAACUUGCCCCGAGAUGAGUUCUCCCUGACCCUUUAAGGGUCCUGAAGGAACGUUGAAGACGACGACGUUGAUAGGCCGGGUGUGUAAGCGCAGCGAUGCGUUGAGCUAACCGGUACUAAUGAACCGUGAGGCUUAACCUU